UUUAUUUUGACUAUCAAAAUGUUUUCCUCCUCUUCCCCACAAUAUAAGGUAUGCCUAGGCCUCUUCUUCCUUUGAAAGAGAUCAGCUUUCCAUAAAAGGAAAGAAAGCUGUUCUUGGGACUUGCUUGGCCCUCCUGGCUUCCCUAAAACAGCUUUCUGGUGACCAACAGGUAUAAAAGUCCCAGCCUGUAAAUCACUGUGCUCUUUACCAUAUCCUGCCCUGAUGAUCAGAUGGUGGGUUUCCACAUGGAGAUGAGGGGAACCAAGUCCAGAGAGAAUCUAAGUUCAUUGUAUCCUUGUUGCAUAUCUUUGCUGUGUUAGGGCAAAGUAGACCUUUUGUUGAUUGUCCAGUGACUCACUUUGUUGCAACAUCUAAUUUGAACUAGAAGUGCUAGUUCUAGAACUUCCUCAGACAACAGAGAUGGGCUAAAAGAAACACUGCACAAUGACUUAAGAUGUUUUGAAAAUACAGUCUUCAUGAGUUUGUGUAGUCAUUAGAAGCUGGACUUUAUCUCAUGAAUAUUUUCAAAGACAUUUUUCUUAAAAAAUGAAAAAAAUAUAAACCAUAUAGAUACAUUUAUAAUCUUGGAAUGUCUUUAGCUCCUGAGGAAAGAUGCUACAGCUGACCCUGUAUUCUUCCUGAUCCUGCCUUCGGAUAUAUGCCUUACAGUUUGACUCACGUACUUGUUCCAGUGAAACUUCCCAGGAUGGACCUGGCCUAAAUCACAAAUACCAAGAGAAAAGAAGGAAGAAAGGAAGAAGAAAAAGAAGGAAGAAAAAGAAGACUCUCAUAACGUAUAUGCAUAAUCCAGCAAAGCAAAUUACAUUGGCUGUAUCUAAAAAUAUAUGUUUUAGUCUUCAUUUUAAAUUCAUCAGUUGUCUAGCAGGAAGUAUGUGGAGACCAGGGAGACAGAGAAGGGGCAGUCACACAGAAAAGAGAGAGAGAGAGAACUGAUACCAAGGAAGAAGAGACUAACCAAAAGAGUUGGAUGUCAAUAAUGUUUAGAGCUUCAGAGAAGUAACAAGAGGAUGAAGACAGAGACAAGAGAGGAUGAUGGUGAUACGAUGAUGAUGAGGAGGAGGAGGAGGAGGAGGAGUAUAGGGCAAGAUCCUGGAAGAAAAGGGGGGCAACAAAGUUCCAACCUUUGGGGUCCUGAUCAAAUGCAGUCAACAGUCUUCUAAGUCUACCCUCCUUGUACUCUUACAAUCCAGUGACAUUGACCUCCUGGCUAUUCCUCAAAUGAGAAGAAGGGAAACAAACUGCUAUGAUCCUGCCAUCAUGCUGAAGUGCUUUACAAAUAUCUUAUUUGAUCCUCUCAACAACCUUGGGAGUGCUGAUGACAAGCAGGAGCCAAAAGAGCACAAUGAAUCAGUAUCUACUUUAGAGAACAAAGAGGUAAAGAAAACUGUGAAGAAGUUUACAAGGUCCUCUAAGGCAAGUGACCAUAUAUACAUACAUACAUAUAUACACAAUACUUGGUGACUUCAAUGUGAAAGUGGG